GACAUUUGCUUCAGUAGCAGUCGGAGACAGGAGUGGUGGAACAUUGCCAUGUCGAUCGAUAAAGAGCAGCCCUCUAACCAGAUGCUAUUGGAAACCUUCAUCGUUUGUCCUGAAUGGCAGCUGGUGUAGGCGAGGACUGCUGGGUUUGAUCCCCCAGCUGUUUUAGGAGCUGCCUAGAGCAUGAGUCACGUACUGGAGUCGCCCUUUACCGCCGCCUGCCACCUUUGACCCUCGAAACAUGACCUCUCGUCAGUCGAGUGCGGAAAAAGGCGCCCACGUCUCAACACUAACACAUAGACAGGAAGGGUGACGUCACUCAGUAAGGGUCGCGGGGGGUGCUAGAGCCUAUCUCAGCUGCAUUCGGGCGGAAGGCGGUGUACACCCUGGACUAGUCGCCACCUCAUCGCAGGGCCAACACAGAUAGACAGACAACAUUCACACUCACAUUCACAGACUAGGGCCAAUUGAGUGUUGCCAAUCAACCUAUGCCCAGGUGCAUGUCUUUGGAGGUGGGAGGAAGCCGGAGUACCCAGAGGGAACGCCCGGGAUUGAACUCAGGACCUUCGUAUUGUGAGGCACAUGCACUAACCCCUGUUCCACCGUGCUGCCCGUAUAGACAUUUUAUAAACCAAAAUAAACCAAAAUAAAAUGUAUAGACAGUUUAUUUUGGUUUAUUUUAUCAGAAAAACUAAUCAAUCAAUCAAAUUUUACUUAUAUAGCCCUAAAUCACGAGUGUCUCAAAGCUGCACAAGACAUUUUCGGCUCAUAUCCCACAUCAGGGCAAGAAAAAAACUCAACUCAAUGGGAUGACAAUGAGAAACCUUGUUAAAAACCUAGUUAAUAACUAACAUCAAAACGACAGCAGCUGCACACGUCCUUGGUAGCAGUCACGGCGCCUUUUGAUUGAUUGAUUGAGCCUUUGAUUAGUAGAUUGCACAGUACAGUACAUAUUUCGUACUUGUUUAAGUCGGGGUCCAAGUUAAUCAAUUCAUGGUGCAAAUAUAUACUAUCAGCAUAAUACUGUCAUCACACAAGUUAAUCAUCAGAG